GAAAGUCCCCUCCUUCCUUCCCUUCCUGGUAAUUAUGCAGAGACAUACAUGAAUACUUAUUAUUGUUUGGGGCUUAAAGACAUACUUUGCCUUUUCUGCAUUUCUACUGAAAUAGUAAUUCUUUCAGGGUGAAGCUUCACAUAUGAAGUCUCAAUUCCAGCUGCCACAUCAUUGUGUAUAAAGGCAUCACUCCCUGUGUCCCUGUGGGAAUUUCUUUCCAAUCCCCAAAUUGCUGAGACAAGCACCCUUUCACACUCCAAGGAACUAUGAAUUCUCACUCCAUUUUUUGACACAUGGAGACUUCUCUUUCUUUUUGGGGGUAACAAUAUACUUUAUUGAUGGUACAUGACAAGCAGUCACAAUAAUAAUCUAAAAAGAAAAUUCAUCUGGAAAUCAGAAAACCUGGUUUGCAGAGCUGGGACUGAAGCUUAACCGCACUGAUCAAUGACGUUUUAUCUAAAAUAUACAAGAUAUGCACAUUUAAGACAGUCCGUCUAUUGGAGGGAAAAAAAUUACCGAAACAUGAAAACCAUGAACCAAAACACGCCAUGUCUUGUCUGCCAUUUCUGGGUGACCUUUCAUCACCACUGUGAUAUCCUCUGUCACUCCUGA
rnacentral:lncRNA from 1 species